AAACCCUUCAAAAAACCUGUUCCCUUCCUCGCCUGUGGGGGCGCUGCACCGAGAACUGCUGAAGGAAACAAUACAAGAUCUCUGAAGAAGACACAGUGUAACGUCCUCC